rnacentral:lncRNA from 1 species
ACCUGAGAGGAGUGGUCAGCUGGAAAAGAACCAGCAAGAGUCCCCUGCCUGCUCAUUUCUGCUACUUUUUGAUCUGCCAUUCACCUAGUCCUCAAAGGAUGAGGGGUCCAGGCUAGGCAUCUUGUGGCACAGAGAAGAGGAAGAGAUCAGGAGGGACAAAGGAAGAAUUUAUAACAUGUUCUGCCCCAUGUCUUUCUUUUUUCUUUAAAAAAGUAUAGAACAAGGCUUGCUUCCUUUGGCUUACAGAAAGAGAUUCUUUGUUUUAAAGAAAAAGGAAAAUAAUUUUGCAAAUAAUUAAGUACAGUUUAGAAAUUCAUUAAAACAAGAUUUUGUGCCAGAAAGAGAUAUGAUCUAGCCCUUACAGAGGAUUGGUGUUCCCCACACUUAUUUUGAUUUAUGCAUCUGUAUUUAUUUAAUUUUAUCUGAAUUCUCAUUAGUAUUUAACUACCAAGUCUUGGAUUGUUUUGCUAUAUUCUCUUUCACACAGUGGGAGGAGCAUUUUUAGAGCUCUCUGCUGUUGUGAUUGGCAGAAUGUUGGACUAAUGAGAAAACCAUGAGCUUGCCAGAUGUUAACAUGGUCUUUGUAGACUCUGUCCAUUAGUAGUACAUGGCAGGAUUUAGUUAUUGUUGGAACACCCAAUAGCUACAUCCAUUCUUUUUCCAAACAAGUCAUUGAGGAAAAGACCCAUGCUUAAGUCCCCCAGGUGAAGAUGGUUGUGACAAGCACAUAAGAUGACAUUGAUAUACACCACAUAGCUUGUUACCUAUGAACACUACAGUGGGAUAAAUAAGAAAAGAUCAGUGUUUUGCCAUUGUAAUGUUUUAAAUGAGAAAAAUCCUUCAUAAGUUCAUACAUUUGAAUACUUGGCCCUCAAGUGUUUAGGGAGGUUAUGGAACUCUUAGGACAUAGAAUCUUGCUAGAGAAAGUGCAUCAGUAGCAGAUUUGAUCAUUUACAGCCUUGUCCCACUUCCUGCUCACUUACUCUACUUCCUGUGUGUGGUUGAGAUGUGAGCUCACAGCUUCCAGGUCUUAUCACCAUGCCUGCUUGUUCCCAUACCUUCUCCACCAUUAUGGACUUUAGCACUCAGAAAUUCAUAGCCCAAAUAAACUUUCUUCUUGGUCAUGAUAUUUUAUC